rnacentral:misc_RNA from 1 species
AUGAGUUAGGGUCUUCUAGGCCCGAUCUCCAACCCUUUGUAUAACUACCAUGUUGCUUUGGCGGGCCCGUCUUUAACCGGACCGUCGGGGGUCUUUGACCUCUGGCCAGUGCCCGCCAGUAGCCCACAACAAAUUCUUUUUAACCAUGUUAAAUCUGAAAAUAGUUAAAUAAACUA